UGAUGAAGGCCUUCGGGUUGUAAAGCCCUGUCUGGGGGGAAGAUAAUGACGGUACCCCUGGAGGAAGCCCCGGCUAACUACGUGCCAGCAGCCGCGGUAAGACGUGGGGGGCGAGCGUUGUCCGGAAUUAUUGGGCGUAAAGGGCGUGUAGGCGGCCUAUCAAGUCGGCUGUGAAAUUCCUCGGCUUAACCGGGGGCCUGCAGUUGAAACUGGUGGGCUUGAGUGCAGAAGAGGAGGGUGGAAUUCCUGGUGUAGCGGUGAAAUGCGUAGAUAUCAGGAGGAACACCGGUGGCGAAGGCGGCCUUCUGGUCUGUUACUGACGCUGAGGCGCGAAAGCUAGGGGAGCGAACAGGAUUAGAUACCCUGGUAGUCCUAGCUGUAAACGCUGGGUACUAGGUGUAGGGGGUUUAAAUACCUUCUGUGCCGCAGUUAACGCAUUAAGUACCCCGC
rnacentral:rRNA from 1 species